CCUACGGGAGGCAGCAGUGAGGAAUAUUGGUCAAUGGACGAGAGUCUGAACCAGCCAAGUAGCGUGAAGGAUGACUGCCCUAUGGGUUGUAAACUUCUUUUAUAUGGGAAUAAAAUGUUCCACGUGUGGGAUUUUGUAUGUACCAUAUGAAUAAGGAUCGGCUAACUCCGUGCCAGCAGCCUCGGUAAUACGGAGGAUCCGAGCGUUAUCCGGAUUUAUUGGGUUUAAAGGGAGCGUAGGUGGAUUGUUAAGUCAGUUGUGAAAGUUUGCGGCUCAACCGUAAAAUUGCAGUUGAAACUGGCAGUCUUGAGUACAGUAGAGGUGGGCGGAAUUCGGGGUGUAGCGGUGAAAUGCUUAGAUAUCACGAAGAACUCCGAUUGCGAAGGCAGUUCACUGGACUGCAACUGACACUGAGGCUCGAAAGUGUGGGUAUCAAACAGGAUUAGAUACCCGUGUAGUC
rnacentral:rRNA from 1 species